rnacentral:rRNA from 1 species
GGCCAUCGCUCAACGGAUAAAAGCUACCCCGGGGAUAACAGGCUUAUCUCCCCCAAGAGUCCACAUCGACGGGGAGGUUUGGCACCUCGAUGUCGGCUCAUCGCAUCCUGGGGCUGUAGUCGGUCCCAAGGGUUGGGCUGUUCGCCCAUUAAAGCGGUACGCGAGCUGGGUUCAGAACGUCGUGAGACAGUUCGGUCCCUAUCCGUCGUGGGCGUAGGAAAUUUGAGAGGAGCUGUCCUUAGUACGAGAGGACCGGGAUGGACGCACCGCUGGUGUACCAGUUGUUCUGCCAAGGGCAUAGCUGGGUAGCUAUGUGCGGAAGGGAUAAGUGCUGAAAGCAUCUAAGCAUGAAGCCCCCCUCAAGAUGAGAUUUCCCAUAGCGUAAGCUAGUAAGAUCCCUGAAAGAUGAUCAGGUUGAUAGGUUCGAGGUGGAAGCAUGGUGACAUGUGGAGCUGACGAAUACUAAUAGAUCGAGGACUUAACCAU